rnacentral:tRNA from 2 species
GGAGAGGUACUCGAAGCGGCCCAACGAGGUCCGGAAGCUCUUCCGGUCGGGGUGAUCGCACCACCCCUCGCAGGUUCGAAUCCUGCCCUCUCCG